ensembl:lncRNA
GGGUGCUGUGACAUGAGGUGAUGGGAUGGUGGUUUUUAAGCAAAUCUGUUGUUGGGUGAAUACAUUUUGUUCUUCUUGCCAGUGGAAGAAUUUGCUGCCACAUUUGUGGAGAUGCAGUGUGUGUGAUUAGAAGUACACCCAGAAUAAGCUAGAUAAGCAGCAUUCUCGCACACCUCCUUAUCCUCUAAGUCAUCCUCUACGGAGGAUUAAGUAUGUAAGAUAAGCAUUAAAGCUUUAAUAGCAAACAAACUGCUUUCUUUGUCUAAUGGUGCAUCUCUUGUAUCUCCAUGAUGCGGACAGUCUUCAGCCUGGUCCUCUUCAGCUCUCUUUUUGUCAUCAAAAGUGAAGCACUGCAAUGUUACACCUGUGUAGGUUCUAGCGAUGAUGACUGCAACAGGCAAGGGACGCAGCAGUGCCCGGGGCAUUCCGAUGCGUGUGCGGUCAUGCGAGGACAAGCAAGUGGUGUGAUGAAGUCCUGCUCGUUCCGCUCCUUCUGUGAGAGGGCAAUGAGGGAUGGAGCCAGAGCGCCCGGGGUGAGCGUCCACUGCUGCUACUCCAGCCACUGCAACGCCAAGAGCCGGGGCGCGAGGCUCAGCCCCUGCAGCAGCUGCUUCGUCCUCCUCCUCUUGUCCCUGUGUUGGCACCCCCUGUUGAAGCUGACAUGAGGAGGAACAGGAUCCUGAAACUGCCUUUAUAGAAAGGGAUGGUUGUAAUUACACUUCCUGUAUCACGUUACUCCACGUACUGCGUUUCUCAGUAGGAAGAAGCUGUAGGCAGACUUAGCUGCAGGUAGCAGCCUUGUAGUUAAGGUAAGGAGUGAUGUGCUCCAGCUGCUUUUGCUGUCAGCAUGCACUCAAAAGCAAGCUACAAUUUUCAAGCACAAAGUGACCGAGAAUUCUAGCAUGCUUUUGAGUGCUCAGAGAAUAUCUCCAGUCUGGACAAAGGCAGAAAACCUGACGUAAGAAUGGUUUAGUGUUGAUACAAAGUGCUAAGAGAAAGCUAUUAAGAGGAAAAAAAAAGUUCAGAAACACAUUGUGUUACAUAUAUUUAUAGGGAUAAAAGAACUUUCCCAGUCUCCUUUCUCCUGUGGGCAGCUGCUAACAGUGGUGAUGCCCAACCUGGGCCAUAAUGGUGUAACACAACGUGGUCACAUUGAGCUGCUGUUGGGUCGGUGAUGCUGGGAAGGAGCUGGCAGGGCAGAGGUGGUUCGUAGCACAGUGACACGUAGGCAGGCAGUUGAUCUGUGUAGAUGUCAGCAUCCAGCUAUACUGACCAGGUCUAAUCUCCAGCACACAGCGGCUUUCAGCCUGGCUGGUGUCACUUCAGUAGAGGUGGUCUUCCAGUGAGGAGUUCUGAUCUUCAUUGCCUGUUUGGAAUUCAAGCAAGUUUAUGGAACUCACAAACUAUGUGGCAAAGUAGAUGUUCCACUAGCUCUGUGUUGUGACCUUGUUUUAAGUAUUGUUUUUGCAAGAUCAGUACUAGGCAGCAUGUUGUAGGAUCCUGCACAUCUUCCAAAAUUUGGCCAAGGUUCUUCUUGAGAGCUUCUUCAAGUGAAGUCAAUGAAAGCUCAGGGCACUGUGCCCUUACCCCACCCUACAGCUGCACUGUCUCCUUGUUUUGUUGCACUCCCUCCGGAUGGAUCCUUCCAUUGUCUUCUGUAGGUUGUGGGGUCGGACUGGGGCCGUUCCUUCGGGGUUUCGCUAGAAGGAGCUCUCAGACCCAGGGGUUCUGCUCUGUGGUUGUUGUUAUCACAAGGCUGAUACAGCUGUUUAAAAAAAAAAAGAUGGCUGUACUGCGACACCAUGGCUGAGAAUAUUAAUUUAGGCUUAAAUAUCUCAUAUGUGUAACAAAUCACUUGAGCUGAUAAGAAUUCUUCAUUUCAUUCUCAGCUUGAAUCAGCUCCUUCAAUCUGUUCUGCUACACAAAAUAUGUAUUCAUGGCACCUUUAUUUUCUGAUUGCUCUGUAAUGAUAAAACUCUCUCGAAUGCAACCUCUGUAAUGCUCCGUGCAUUUCCUUAAUGACAAAUUAAAAUAUAUGCAAUGUCUGACAAUGUCUCUGGAUAAAUGGGAG